rnacentral:rRNA from 1 species
GAUGAACGCUGGCGGCGUGCUUAACACAUGCAAGUCGAACGAUGAAGCCCAGCUUGCUGGGUGGAUUAGUGGCGAACGGGUGAGUAACACGUGAGUAACCUGCCCUUAACUCUGGGAUAAGCCUGGGAAACUGGGUCUAAUACCGGAUAGGAGCGUCCACCGCAUGGUGGGUGUUGGAAAGAUUUAUCGGUUUUGGAUGGACUCGCGGCCUAUCAGCUUGUUGGUGAGGUAAUGGCUCACCAAGGCGACGACGGGUAGCCGGCCUGAGAGGGUGACCGGCCACCAUGGGACUGAGACACGGCCCAGACUCCUACGGGAGGCAGCAGUGGGGAAUAUUGCACAAUGGGCGCAAGCCUGAUGCAGCGACGCCGCGUGAGGGAUGCCGGCCUUCGGGUUGUAAACCUCUUUCAGUAGGGAAGAAGCGAAAGUGACGGUACCUGCAGAAGAAGCACCGGCUAACUACGUG